rnacentral:rRNA from 1 species
AGCGAACGCUGGCGGCAGGCCUAACACAUGCAAGUCGAACGAACCUUUCGGGGUUAGUGGCGGACGGGUGAGUAACACGUGGGAACGUGCCUUUAGGUUCGGAAUAACUCAGGGAAACUUGUGCUAAUACCGAAUGUGCCCUUCGGGGGAAAGAUUAAUCGCCUUUAGAGCGGCCCGCGUCUGAUUAGCUAGUUGGUUGAGGUAAUGGCUCACCAAGGCGACGAUCAGUAGCUGGUCUGAGAGGAUGAUCAGCCACAUUGGGACUGAGACACGGCCCAAACUCCUACGGGAAGCAGCAGUGGGGAAUCUUGCGCAAUGGGCGAAAGCCUGACGCAGCCAUGCCGCGUGAAUGAUGAAGGUCUUAGGAUUGUAAAAUUCUUUCACCGGGGACGAUAAUGACGGUACCAGGAGAAGAAGCCCCGGCUAACUUCGUG